rnacentral:rRNA from 1 species
UACAGAGGUCUCAAGCGUUGUUCGGAUUCAUUGGGCGUAAAGGGUGCGUAGGCGGCGCGGUAAGUCGGGUGUGAAAUCUCGGAGCUUAACUCCGAAACUGCAUUCGAUACUGCCGUGCUUGAGGACUGGAGAGGAGACUGGAAUUCAUGGUGUAGCAGUGAAAUGCGUAGAGAUCAUGAGGAAGACCAGUGGCGAAGGCGGGUCUCUGGACAGUUCCUGACGCUGAGGCACGAAGGCCAGGGGAGCAAACGGGG